rnacentral:rRNA from 1 species
UACGUAGGGGGCAAGCGUUGUCCGGAAUCAUUGGGCGUAAAGAGCGUGUAGGCGGCCCGAUAAGUCCGCCGUGAAAGUCCAGGGCUCAACCCUGGAAUGCCGCUGGAAACUGUCUGGCUUGAGUCCGGAAGGGGCGAGUGGAAUUCCUGGUGUAGCGGUGAAAUGCGCAGAUAUCAGGAGGAACACCAAUGGCGAAGGCAGCUCGCUGGAACGGUACUGACGCUGAGGCGCGAAAGCGUGGGGAGCGAACAGG